GGGAGGGGUCGGGCAGCCUUCGGGUGCGUAAGCACCUGAGGAAAGUCCCCCUCCUCCGGGGAGCGCGGCACCGUAAGGUGCCAGCCGAGAGGCUGGGGGUUAAGCCAAAGAAACGGCACGUCCACCAGCGUAUGUCAAUGAUGGCCUUAAAAGCCUGAGCAUGCUGGUGGAAUCGUUGAAACGAGGCGACCCCCGCGCGGAAUAAGGCGAAUCCGCUAUGAGCACCCCGGUGAGCGGUAAGCCGCAUAGUCAAAUGCUGCCUAAACAGAAGGGGGAUUACGAACCCCACCC
rnacentral:RNase_P_RNA from 1 species